rnacentral:rRNA from 1 species
ACGGCAGCACGGACUUCGGUCUGGUGGCGAGUGGCAAACGGGUGAGUAAUACAUCGGAACGUGCCUAGUAGUGGGGGAUAACUACUCGAAAGAGUGGCCAAUACCGCAUGAGAUCUACGGAUGAAAGCAGGGGAUCGCAAGACCUUGUGCUACUAGAGCGGCCGAUGGCAGAUUAGGUAGUUGGUGGGAUAAAAGCUUACCAAGCCAACGAUCUGUAGCUGGUCUGAGAGGACGAUCAGCCACACUGGGACUGAGACACGGCCCAGACUCCUACGGGAGGCAGCAGUGGGGAAUUUUGGACAAUGGGCGAAAGCCUGAUCCAGCAAUGCCGCGUGCAGGAUGAAGGCCUUCGGGUUGUAAACUGCUUUUGUACGGAACGAAAAGCUUCGGGUUAAUACCCUGGAGUCAUGACGGUACCGUAAGAAUAAGCACCGGCUAACUACGUGCCAGCAGCCGCGGUAAUACGUAGGGUGCAAGCGUUAAUCGGAAUUACUGGGCGUAAAGCGUGCGCAGGCGGUUUUGUAAGACAGAGGUGAAAUCCCCGGGCUCAACCUGGGAACUGCCUUUGUGACUGCAAGGCUAGAGUACGGCAGAGGGGGAUGGAAUUCCGCGUGUAGCAGUGAAAUGCGUAGAUAUGCGGA